rnacentral:pre_miRNA from 3 species
CAACUCUCAUUCUACACCGUUGGAUCGAGAAAUGGACGUCCGAGAUGAUCUGCGAGUUAAAUUUUAACUCAGGGUGACGUGGACGAAUCUCGAACGUCCAUUUCUCGAUCCAACGGUGUAGGAUGAAAGUUG